UACAGAGGUCUCAAGCGUUGUUCGGAUUCAUUGGGCGUAAAGGGUGCGUAGGCGGCGCGGUAAGUCGGGUGUGAAAUCUCGGAGCUUAACUUCGAAACUGCAUUCGAUACUGCCGUGCUUGAGGACUGGAGAGGAGACUGGAAUUCAUGGUGUAGCAGUGAAAUGCGUAGAGAUCAUGAGGAAGACCAGUGGCGAAGGCGGGUCUCUGGACAGUUCCUGACACUGAGACACGAAGGCCAGGGGAGCAAACGGG
rnacentral:rRNA from 1 species